CAGGAAUCGCCUGAGAACACAUAGGUGCUACCUACCUUCCUGAAGGAUCUGGUGCCCAGUGUGACAGAGAACACCUGGCAGCUCCAUUUAGGUCCCAGUGUUCCCAACCCUUGCUUUUGCUCUCAACACAAAAAGAAAUGGAGAACGAAGCCGUGAAGCCUGGUGAGGUAAGCCACACCAGGCGCCAAAGCCAGCUGCUCCCUUAGAACCCAGGGAGAGGUUUUAGGUAUUUUCUGAAGAGUGGUCCUUUGGCAUCUAAUCCCAGAACUCAAGAGGAGGAAACAGUUGUCAUAUUCAAGUAUGGGCCCAAUUACUUAGCAAUAUUGCAUCUACACACACAGAGACCUACCUGCCUCCUGGGUAAUGGGAAUGAACAAGCCACCAUGCCUGACAAUUGCCUUUGUCUUAGUCUCAGCUGCACUGUUGCUUUCAGUGAAUAUCACAUCCCCAUAGUUACGGGAAGCAGAUGACUUUUGCUUUUGUUUUUGUUUUUUUUCAAAACAAAGAUUGAAGAAGCUCUAGAAGUCUGCCCCAUUUUAAACCUCUCCGGUUUUCCAUCCGAGAAACUUCAGAGACUUAAAGAAGUUUGUGGUUUGGAUCUGAAGUGUCCCUCAUAGACUACUGUGUUGAAGACUUGGUUCCCACCCAGUGCCACUAUUUUGGGAGGCUGUGGAAACCUGAGAAGGCCAGGCCUGUUUGGAGGAAGUAGGUCAGUGGAGGAGCGCCCCUAAAGGUCAUUGCUGACUCCUUGUCGUCUUCACACUCCGCCUCCUGCUCACCACGAGGUGAUAAACCUCUCCUGCUCCAUGCUUCUGCUACCAUGACAUUUUGGUCUAAAUUCAUGGAGCACAGUAGCCAUGGAGGAGUGACCCUCUAAAACUGAGAGCCAAGGGGCUGCUGAGAUGGCUCAGCGGUUAAGAGCACCAACUGCUCUUCUAAAGGUCCUGAGCUCAGAUCCCAGCAACCACAUGGUGGCUCACAACCAUCUGACUCUCUCUUCUGGUGUGUCUGAAGAAAGCUACAGUGUACUUACAAUAAAUAAAUAAAUAAAUAAAUAAAUAAAUAAAUAAAUACAUC
rnacentral:lncRNA from 1 species